GACGAACGCUGGCGGCGUGCCUAAUACAUGCGAGUAGAACGCUGAAGGAGGAGCUUGCUUCUCUGGAUGAGUUGCGAACGGGUGAGUAACGCGUAGGUAACCUGCCUGGUAGCGGGGGAUAACUAUUGGAAACGAUAGCUAAUACCGCAUAAGAGUAGAUGUUGCAUGACAUUUGCUUAAAAGGUGCAAUUGCAUCACUACCAGAUGGACCUGCGUUGUAUUAGCUAGUUGGUGGGGUAACGGCUCACCAAGGCGACGAUACAUAGCCGACCUGAGAGGGUGAUCGGCCACACUGGGACUGAGACACGGCCCAGACUCCUACGGGAGGCAGCAGUAGGGAAUCUUCGGCAAUGGACGGAAGUCUGACCGAGCAACGCCGCGUGAGUGAAGAAGGUUUCCGGAUCGUAAAGCUCUGUUGUAAGAGAAGAACGAGUGUGAGAGUGGAAAGUUCACACUGUGACGGUAUCUUACCAGAAAGGGACGGCUAACUACGUG
rnacentral:rRNA from 1 species